AUACAGAGGGUGCGAGCGUUAAUCGGAAUUACUGGGCGUAAAGCGCGCGUAGGCGGUUACUUAAGUCAGAUGUGAAAUCCCCGGGCUCAACCUGGGAACUGCAUCUGAUACUGGGUAGCUAGAGUUUAGGAGAGGGAAGUAGAAUUUCAGGUGUAGCGGUGAAAUGCAUAGAGAUCUGAAGGAAUACCAGUGGCGAAGGCGGCUUCCUGGCCUAAAACUGACGCUGAGGUGCGAAAGCGUGGGUAGCAAACAGGAUUAGAAACCCCAGUAGUCC
rnacentral:rRNA from 1 species